CCAUUGUGAGAACAAGUUUCAUUAAAAACCUGAAAUAUUAAUUGAAUUCCAUUCUGCAGAAUUAGAGAGCUCUCAAGAUGAAUGAAUCAAUAUAGAAGCCAACCUUCUCUUUCUUGUCAGAGCAGAGUUUCCACUCACUGGAUCAGCUUCGUCUCGAUGCUGGGUGACUUCUUUGUAGUUAAUUAUUCAAAAGAAAUAUGCAAGAAAUGAAAUGCCAGAAGAAGAAGGACAUAUCUACUACUGAGCAUCUUGUGAAGAUAACCAGCCAGUGCGUUUUCCUCCUCCUUUGGUCUAUGCAGCAUUUGUCUGAAUGGAAUAGAAAACGAGAGGGGACAAAGCUUAAGUCUGUGAGGCCAGAGAAGGUGGGAUAGGGUGAGGAUAGAUAAGCAAGAACACGUCUCUGCAAAUAAGAGUCUCAUGUCACUCACUGGGAUAUAGUGACUUCUCCUAAAUCAUACAUUCCUGGAAAUGCUUCAAACAGAAGUCUCAGCUUGGACGGUCUAUCAGAGAGCUCUGGGUAAUUAGAUCCAGCAAUCUUGCUCAAACACAUGACCAUUUCUGACCUGGUUAUUACAUGGAUUGAGCUUCCUGCAUAAACAAUAUUAGAACAAUAAAGAUGAUGUCUCAAAGAUAC